rnacentral:rRNA from 1 species
AACGAACGCUGGCGGCGCGUUUUAAGCAUGCAAGUCGAGCGGGCAAGGGCCGUUCCGGGCCCCUAGAGCGCCGGACGGGUGAGUAACACGUGGACGAUCUGCCCCCCGGCCGGGGAUAGCCCAGGGAAACCUGGAGUUAAUACCGGAUGAGACGGGACGCACGAUGGUGCGGGCCGGGAAAGGCGCGUGCGGCGCCGCCGGGGGAUGAGUCCGGCGACUCAUUAGCUGGACGGCGGGGUAAAGGCCCACCGUGGCGACGAUGGGUAGCCGGCCUGAGAGGGUGGACGGCCACAUUGGAACUGAGACACGGUCCAGACUCCUACGGGAGGCAGCAUG